rnacentral:rRNA from 1 species
GAAUCUUCCACAAUGGACGAAAGUCUGAUGGAGCAAUGCUGCGUGAGUGAAGAAGGUUUUCGGAUCGGAAAAUCCUGUUGUGAGGGAAGAACAAGUCAGAGAGUAACUGCUCGCACCUUGACGGUACCUCACUCGCAAGCCACGGCCUGCUACGUUCCAGCAGCCGCGGUAAUACGUAGGUGGCAAGCGUUGUCCGGAAUUAUUGGGCGUAAAGCGCGCGCAGGCGGUCCUUUAAGUCUGAUGUGAAAUCCCACGGCUCAACCGUGGAAGGUCAUUGGAAACUGGGGGACUUGAGUACAGAAGAGGAAAGCGGAAUUCCAAGUGUAGCGGUGAAAUGCGUAGAGAUUUGGAGGAACACCAGUGGCGAAGGCGGCUUUCUGGUCUGUAACUGACGCUGAGGCGCGAAAGCGUGGGGAGCAAAC